ACGAACGCUGGCGGCAUGCCUAACCCAUGCAAGUCGAACGAGACCUUCGGGUCUAGUGGCGCACGGGUGCGUAACGCGUGGGAACCUGCCCUUAGGUUCGGAAUAACUCCCCGAAAGGGGUGCUAAUACCGGAUAAUGUCUUCGGACCAAAGAUUUAUCGCCUUUGGAUGGGCCCGCGUUGGAUUAGCUAGUUGGUAGGGUAAAAGCCUACCAAGGCGACGAUCCAUAGCUGGUCUGAGAGGAUGAUCAGCCACACUGGGACUGAGACACGGCCCAGACUCCUACGGGAGGCAGCAGUGGGGAAUAUUGGAAAAUGGGCGAAAGCCUGAUCCAGCAAUGCCGCGUGAGUGAUGAAGGCCUUAGGGUUGUAAAGCUCUUUUACCCGGGAUGAUAAUGACAGUACCGGGAGAAUAAGCUCCGGCUAACUCCGUG
rnacentral:rRNA from 1 species